rnacentral:rRNA from 1 species
ACACAUGCAAGUCGAACGCGAAAGUUUUCUUCGGAAAGCGAGUAGAGUGGCGCACGGGUGAGUAACACGUGGAUAACCUGCCCUAGAGUCUGGGAUAACACUUCGAAAGGGGUGCUAAUACCGGAUAAGCCCACGCCUUCUUCGGAAGAAGUGGGAAAAGAUUUAUUGCUCUAGGAUGGGUCCGCGGUCCAUUAGCUAGUUGGUGGGGUAAUGGCCUACCAAGGCUGCGAUGGAUAGCUGGUCUGAGAGGAUGAUCAGCCACACUGGAACUGAGACACGGUCCAGACUCCUACGGGAGGCAGCAGUGGGGAAUUUUGCGCAAUGGGGGAAACCCUGACGCAGCAACGCCGCGUGAAGGAUGAAGGCCUUUGGGUCGUAAACUUCUGUCAGAGGGGAAGAAAUGCCCGCAAGGGUGCUGACGGUACCCUCAAAGGAAGCACCGGCUAACUCCGUGCCAGCAGCCGCGGUAAUACGGAGGGUGCAAGCGUUGUUCGGAAUUAUUGGGCGUAAAGAGCAUGUAGGCGGACUGUUAAGUCUGGUGUGAAAGCCCGGGGCUCAACCCCGGAAGUGCAUCGGAUACUGGCAGUCUUGAGUAUGGGAGAGGAAAGUGGAAUUCCGAGUGUAGGAGUGAAAUCCGUAGAUAUUCGGAGGAACACCAGUGGCGAAGGCGGCUUUCUGGACCAAUACUGACGCUGAGAUGCGAAAGCGUGGGGAGCAAACAGGAUUAGAUACCCUGGUAGUCCACGCCGUAAACGAUGGGUACUAGGUGUUGCGGGUAACCACUCCUGCAGUGCCGCAGCUAACGCAUUAAGUACCCCGCCUGGGGAGUACGGCCGCAAGGCUAAAACUCAAAGGGAUUGACGGGGGCCCGCACAAGCGGUGGAGCAUGUGGUUUAAUUCGACGCAACGCGAAGAACCUUACCUGGGUUUGACAUCCUGAUCGUACCUUUUGGAAACAUAAGGGUCAGUUCGGCUGGAUCAGUGACAGGUGCUGCAUGGCUGUCGUCAGCUC